UAAGGGCGCUCGGCCAGCCCGUCUCUCCUCGAAUGAAAGGAAACAACCCCUGGCAACAGAGCUCCGCUCUUCGGCACUGCCGGAGAACCGACUCCCGCCUUCCCCGUCUCCCCUCGUGGGCGCUGUCCUCCCUUCGCCCAGCCGUGAGCCCCACUGCAUUUUUUUGAGGCUUAAAGUGGCAUUCUCUAAACAAUUUAAAAAUCAUGUCAAGCUCAAUUGAACAGAAAAAAGGGUCUACGAGACAGCGCAAAUGUGGCUUUUGUAAGUCAAAUAGAGACAAGGAAUGCGGACAAUUACUGAUAUCUGAAAACCAGAAGGUGGCAGCACACCAUAAGUGCAUGAUGUGUUCUCUUUGUCAUUGUCCUGGAGCAACCAUUGGCUGUGAUGUGAAAACCUGCCACAGGACAUACCACUACCACUGUGCACUGCAUGAUAAAGCUCAGAUCCGAGAGAAACCUUCGCAAGGGAUUUACAUGGUUUAUUGUCGAAAACACAAGAAAACUGCCCAUAACUCUGAAGCUGAUUUAGAAGAAAGUUUUAAUGAACAUGAACUGGAGCCCUCAUCUCCAAAAACUAAGAAGAAAAGUCGCAAAGGAAGACCAAGAAAAACCAACCUUAAAGGUCUGGCGGAAGACACCAGAUCCACAUCCUCCCAUGGAACAGAUGAAACGGAAAGCAGUUCCUACCGAGAUAGGUCUCCCAUUAUUAAUAUUAAACUGUGUAAUCUUUGCAAGCGUAUAUUGAAGAUUAUUCUGGAGCAUUUAUUGCCUUACCAGAAAUGUUAGUGAGACAUGUUCUUUAGAGUAGAAGGGUAGACUUGAGUUUCUAUACUUUAAUAAGACCUCUUUGUUCCUGGGGGGAGGGGGAGUUUUGCUUUCAUCUCAUUGUUUUAAAAGCCACACCUGAAAUGAAUUUCAUGUCAAGGAUCAGCAGUUUCCAAACUUGAGGUGGUACUUGCUUAGUACAUGACUCAAGAUCCUAAGAGAGUAACAUGAUCGAUCUACAGAUCUGCUAUCAAAUCGAAUCUAUGUACUUGAACAAAUGUGUGAAUCUCAAAUAUCUCAAAGCAAAAGUGUUGUAGAAUGUUGUUGCUUUUUGAAAAAGCACUGAAGUUAGACCAAGGCACAGUUUUGUUUUAACAGACAUUUAAGUUAAUUGUAAAGAUAAGGAAUGCAUCAUGGGUCAGAAAUCAAACAUUCCUCAAUGUUAUGUAUAUUUUGUUCCUGUUAUAUUGGCUUUAUUUUCAAAAUUGUAGUUUGUAGUAUUAGUUUCCUUUAAAUGGUAUUCUUGCAUAUACUAUUCAUUCAAUAAAUGAGUUCUGAAUUUCA
rnacentral:lncRNA from 1 species